rnacentral:lncRNA from 1 species
CGAUAAGAGGGUAAGUAUGGAGUGAGUUUCCGUUAAGGGAGGUAAGUAGUUCGUUUUGAAGCAAAGGAAGAUCGAGUAUAGAGAUUUGAUAUAAGAAUAAGGGGAUUGAUCGGCGCUAACGGGAAGGAGGGCAGCCUCAAUUCCAUUCUUUAGCGCUGGCAGGGGAGGAGGAAAUCUUAUUGUUUCGUUUUUCGGGGUUCCACUAUCCGCUUUCGGGGCGCAAAUUAGCAAGUUCUUAGGCUCCAAGUGUCGAGUAACCAAGGGCUAAUAGUUAGGUUAUUGAGUUCGGGGUGCCCAGCUUAGCUAGUUUAGGUUAGCGAGUGGAAUGUAGUUUGUCUGAGUGCUUAUUGAGCUUUCGUUGUGCUUGUUGAGUGAGCAGGAAACAGUUACUCACUUAUAUAUUCCGCGAACAGACUGUUGUGCUAAGGCUUAUUCUCUCUCAGUAGGUUGGUUUCGGGGUGCCAAGCCCAUAUUAGCUUUGAAGCAAAAGAAAGAGAAG